rnacentral:sRNA from 1 species
AAAUGUGAAAAUUUAUUUUAGAACUUAUACUGAACACAGAGACGUAACGAAGAGAAACAGAAAACUAAAAAAU